GUUUCAGGGCUAGGCUUAACCUCCCUGAGUAAAGUAACGGCCUCUAAGGUUUUUAAAGCUCACAAGAGUGAACCCCGAUAGGGGUAACCGAUGAGAAAAACUGAUUUAGAUAACAGUUUUAAAUUUAUACAUAUCGGUAACGGUAUAGUUUUAAAUUUAAAAUUCAGGAAAUGAUCUAGAUAAUUAACCGUACCCUAAACCGACACUGGUCUGCUGGUAGAGUAUACCAAGGCGUUGAGCGAAUCAUCUUGAAGGAACUCGGCAAAAUGACUCCGUAACUUCGGAAGAAGGAGUACGACUUUUAUAGUCGUGGCACAGAAUAGAAGAGUACGACUGUUUACUUAAAACACCGGUCUUUGCUAAUAGGAAACUAGAUGUAUAAAGACUGAUACCUGCUCAGUGCUGGUAAGUCAAGAGAGGUACUAUUAAGGUACUGAUUGAACCUCCAGUAAACAGCGGUUGUAACUAUAACGAUCCUCAGGUAGCGAAAUACCUUGGCCACUAAUUAUGGUCGUGCAUGAAUGGUGUAACGAUACUCUUACUGUCUCCAAGAUGAGCUCAGUGAAAUUGAAUUAUCCGUGCAGAUGCGGAUUACCAUUAGCUAGACGGGAAGACCCUAUGCAGCUUUACUGUAGUUAGUCAUUGUGUGCUUAUAAUUAAGGUGUAGAAUACAAGGGAGUCGAUUAGACGUCAGUGAAAUACCUUGACUUAAUUAGGAACACGCUAAACCAAAUUUUUGGGACAGUGAUUAAUGGGCAGUUUAUCUGGGGCGGAUUUCUCCCAUAUAGUACCGGAGAAGUACGAAGGUCGGCUUAAAUUGGAUGGAAACCAAUGGGCUAAAGAGAGCCUAAUUAAGUGUAAUGGCAUAAGCCGGCUUAACUGUAAGACUGACAAGUCAUACAGAUACGCAAGUAGGUCAUAGUGAUCCGGUGGUACAUUAUGGAAUGGCCAUCGCUCAACGAAUAAAAGCUACGCUAGGGAUAACAGGCUGAUCAAUCUCGAGAGUCCAUAUUGACAGAUUGGUUUGGCACCUCGAUGUCGACUCAUCCUAUCCUGGGGGUGUAGGCGCUCCCAAGGGUUCGGCUGUUCGCCGAGUAAAAGGGUACGUGAGUUGGGUUAAGUACGUCGUGAGACAGUACGGUUCCUAUCUACUAAUGGAAUUAGAAUCGGACAAGAACAUUACUCUAGUACGAGAGGACCGAGUGAUAUGAACCUCUGGUAUACCUGUUAUUGUUUACUACCUAUUUUAGGUCUGUUACAGUACGGCAGGAAAGCUACGUUCAGAAAGGAUAACCGCUGAUAGCGUCUUAAGCGGGAAGCCCAUCUUGGCACGAUUCUUUAUUAG
rnacentral:rRNA from 1 species